UCCUGGCUCAGGAUGAACGCUGGCGGCGUGCCUAAUACAUGCAAGUCGAGCGAACGGACGAGAAGCUUGCUUCUCUGAUGUUAGCGGCGGACGGGUGAGUAACACGUGGAUAACCUACCUAUAAGACUGGGAUAACUUCGGGAAACCGGAGCUAAUACCGGAUAAUAUUUUGAACCGCAUGGUUCAAAAGUGAAAGACGGUCUUGCUGUCACUUAUAGAUGGAUCCGCGCUGCAUUAGCUAGUUGGUAAGGUAACGGCUUACCAAGGCAACGAUGCAUAGCCGACCUGAGAGGGUGAUCGGCCACACUGGAACUGAGACACGGUCCAGACUCCUACGGGAGGCAGCAGUAGGGAAUCUUCCGCAAUGGGCGAAAGCCUGACGGAGCAACGCCGCGUGAGUGAUGAAGGUCUUCGGAUCGUAAAACUCUGUUAUUAGGGAAGAACAUAUGUGUAAGUAACUGUGCACAUCUUGACGGUACCUAAUCAGAAAGCCACGGCUAACUACGUGCCAGCAGCCGCGGUAAUACGUAGGUGGCAAGCGUUAUCCGGAAUUAUUGGGCGUAAAGCGCGCGUAGGCGGUUUUUUAAGUCUGAUGUGAAAGCCCACGGCUCAACCGUGGAGGGUCAUUGGAAACUGGAAAACUUGAGUGCAGAAGAGGAAAGUGGAAUUCCAUGUGUAGCGGUGAAAUGCGCAGAGAUAUGGAGGAACACCAGUGGCGAAGGCGACUUUCUGGUCUGUAACUGACGCUGAUGUGCGAAAGCGUGGGGAUCAAACAGGAUUAGAUACCCUGGUAGUCCACGCCGUAAACGAUGAGUGCUAAGUGUUAGGGGGUUUCCGCCCCUUAGUGCUGCAGCUAACGCAUUAAGCACUCCGCCUGGGGAGUACGACCGCAAGGUUGAAACUCAAAGGAAUUGACGGGGACCCGCACAAGCGGUGGAGCAUGUGGUUUAAUUCGAAGCAACGCGAAGAACCUUACCAAAUCUUGACAUCCUUUGACAACUCUAGAGAUAGAGCCUUCCCCUUCGGGGGACAAAGUGACAGGUGGUGCAUGGUUGUCGUCAGCUCGUGUCGUGAGAUGUUGGGUUAAGUCCCGCAACGAGCGCAACCCUUAAGCUUAGUUGCCAUCAUUAAGUUGGGCACUCUAAGUUGACUGCCGGUGACAAACCGGAGGAAGGUGGGGAUGACGUCAAAUCAUCAUGCCCCUUAUGAUUUGGGCUACACACGUGCUACAAUGGACAAUACAAAGGGCAGCGAAACCGCGAGGUCAAGCAAAUCCCAUAAAGUUGUUCUCAGUUCGGAUUGUAGUCUGCAACUCGACUACAUGAAGCUGGAAUCGCUAGUAAUCGUAGAUCAGCAUGCUACGGUGAAUACGUUCCCGGGUCUUGUACACACCGCCCGUCACACCACGAGAGUUUGUAACACCCGAAGCCGGUGGAGUAACCUUUUAGGAGCUAGCCGUCGAAGGUGGGACAAAUGAUUGGGGUGAAGUCGUAACAAGGUAGCCGUAUCGGAAGGUGCGGCUGGAUCACCU
rnacentral:rRNA from 13 species